GACGAACGCUGGCGGCGUGCUUAACACAUGCAAGUCGAACGGAAAGGCCUGGUUUUUGUGGGGUGCUCGAGUGGCGAACGGGUGAGUAACACGUGAGUAACCUGCCCUUGACGUUGGGAUAACUUCAGUAAACUGGGGCUAAUAGCGGAAAGGAGCUCCUGCUGCAUGGUGGGGGUUGGAAAGUUUCGGAGGUUGGGGAUGGACUCGCGGCUGAUCAGGUUGUUGGUGGGGUAGUGGCUUACCAAGGCGUUGACGGGUAGCCGGCCGGAGAGGGUGACCGGCCACAUUGCGACUGAGAUACGGCCCAGACUCCUACGGGAGGCAGCAGUGGGGAAUAUUGCACAGUGGGCGGAAGCCUGAUGCAGCAACGCCGCGUGCGGGAUGACGGCCUUCGGGUUGUAACCCGCUUUCGCCUGUGACGAAGCGUGAGUGACGGUAAUGGGUGAAGAAGCACCGGCUAACUACGUG
rnacentral:rRNA from 1 species